rnacentral:rRNA from 1 species
AUUGAACGCUGGCGGCAUGCUUUACACAUGCAAGUCGAACGGUAACAGGCCUUCGGGUGCUGACGAGUGGCGCACGGGGGAGUAAUGCAUCGGAACGUACCCAGAGGUGGGGGAUAACGCAGCGAAAGCUGUGCUAAUACCGCAUGUGAUCUGAGGAUGAAAGCGGGGGACCGAGCAGCAAUGUUUGGCCUCGCGCCUUUGGAGCGGCCGAUGUCGGAUUAGCUAGUUGGUGGGGUAAAGGCCUACCAAGGCGACGAUCCGUAGCUGGUCUGAGAGGACGAUCAGCCACACUGGAACUGAGACACGGCCCAGACUCCUACGGGAGGCAGCAGUGGGGAAUUUUGGACAAUGGGCGAAAGCCUGAUCCAGCAAUGCCGCGUGCGGGAAGAAGGCCUUCGGGUUGUAAACCGCUUUUGGCAGGAACGAAACGGUGUCCGCUAAUACCGGGCGCUAAUGACGGUACCUGCAGAAUAAGCACCGGCUAACUACGUG